AACUUUCAACAACGGAUCUCUUGGCUCUCGCAUCGAUGAAGAACGCAGCGAAAUGCGAUAAGUAAUGUGAAUUGCAGAAUUCAGUGAAUCAUCGAAUCUUUGAACGCACCUUGCGCCUUUUGGUAUUCCGAAAGGCAUGCCUGUUUGAGUGUCA
rnacentral:rRNA from 2 species